ACCCUUAGAUGUUCUGGGCUGCACGCGCGCUACACUGUCGGAUUCAGCGGGUCAUAUCCUUAACCGAAAGGUUUGGGUAAUCUUUUGAAAGUCCGACGUGAUGGGGAUUGAUCAUUGCAAUUAUUGAUCAUGAACGAGGAAUUCCUAGUAAGCGCGAGUCAUCAGCUCGCGUUGAUUACGUCCCUGCCCUUUGUACACACCGCCCGUCGCUACUACCGAUUGAAUGGUUUAGUGAGAUCUUCGGAUUGGCGCCUACGCGGCUUCUCUGAGGCCACGCUGGAUGCCGAAAAGUUGCUCAAACUGUAUCAUUUAGAGGAAGUAAAAGUCGUAACA
rnacentral:rRNA from 1 species